CACAGCCUUUUCUCCAUGCUCGUGUGCACCUGCUGUCUUCCUUCCUGUGUCUUCAUCAGACUUGGUCUCCCCUCCAUCUUGGUUGGCUUUCUCUCUCUCUCUCUCUCUCUCUCUCUCUCUCUCUCACACACACACACACACACACACACACACACACACGCCUCAAAGUGUCUUAGCUUGGAAGUUGGGUGGUGAUUGGGGUGGGGGACGAAAUGUCACUCUGGCCCAGAAGCCUGGGGAGGACUCAGGAAUGCUCUUGGCAUCCUGAUCCUUGUGUGCUCCUGCCCCUUUGCCUCUUGGAGACCAGAGGGGGCUUUCUCUGGCCUGGUUCCUCCUUUCUCUGGAUCCCUGGAUGUUUGAGCUGAGCACAGGCGAGUGGAUGAGCGGGGUUAGGGUUUGCAAGAUCCUUAUUGGACUUUGAGGCUAAAGAGCAUGUUUUGCUGGCACUGUGCUUUCAGAGGCCUGUGACCGUGCACCUGCGUAUGGAGCCGUCAGGCACCUAGGGGUGUGUCACCCUCAAGGACCUGUGGCCUGUUCUGGUGCCCGGCUCCUAGAAAGCUUUUGAAAAGUGCUUGUAGAUACUAAAGUGUUUGUACUUCUGGGCAGGGUCUGGGUUUGGUGGAGCUUUCAUGAAUUGGGGUGCCCUCUUUCAGAAAAAGAUUAUGGAUAUCAAAUGCUAGAGCCCUUCCCAAUGUGGGGGAGGGGGGCCGGGCGCUGAAGCACCUGCUUUAUUAGCUUCAUGAAUGGGGCCUAAAUAAACAGAGUGAAGAGCAGCCGGUUGAGGCCCCCACAGUUGGAGCAACCGGGUGGGGAGAUUCAACGCUAAGGCUGGGAUGGUGACAUCUGCUGUGCUCUGAGGACCCUCAGAACGAGGGGCAGCCAUGCAGACCUCAGGUUUGCAUUCUCCAAAGGGCAGGACCAAUCCUCCCAUCUUUGGUAAACUGCCACUGGACGUCGAUGCCCCUGGAUUUUUUUCUCUCUUCUUAGUGCGUCUGGUUGGGAGCCACAGACCAACCCUGAGUCCCACCUCACCCAGAGCUGCCAGGUAGAUCAGUACACAUGGCGGCGUCCGGCCUCCAUGCUGCCCUUGUGUGUGUGUGUGUGUGUGUGUGUGUGUGUGUGAAAGAGAGAGAAUGUGAGACUGUGCAUGUGUGUGACUCUGUGCAUGUGUGUGUGUGUGAGACGUAUGCGUGUAUAAUGCUGUGUAUGUGGAACAGGAGGGUGAGGGGUCCUGGAGGUGAUGGGACGUGUACCUAGAGGUUCAGGGGUCUGUUCUGCUGACCUUCCAGACUCAUCCAUUAAUUAGGGUCAGGGGAGCAAAUGGAAUUGGGCGGUUUUUUGGGAAGGAGGCUACUUACUUCUUGGAAGAUGUGGGAAAGCUACGGUUCUGUUCCCACUAAGGAGGGGCAGCUGUGUGUGCGUGUGUGUGUUUGUGUGUGCACACAUGAAAGAAAGAGAUUGAGAAGAAGCGUUUACAUGAAAUACUCAAAAUUGUUCCUUUUGCUGUAAUGGCUCCACACAGACCAUUACCUUGCAGAUUUAAAAACUAAAUGAGCUCAUCAUAUCUAGUGACUUCCCUCGACAUUCAUGCUUGAUUGCGAAGCCUGCCUUACCUUUGCAUUUCAACUUCAUUGUUUGUUAUGAAUUCUCGGAUAGCCGUUUCUCCCCCUCUUGGAUUCAACCGUGAACACGCUGAUUUUGUGCGAGGGGUGGACCUCAACAGGACCCCACUCAACAGGGCCCCACUCGAGAACCUUUUCAUGUUAAAGACGGCCCUGUGACCUCUAGGGCAGAGCCUGGCAUUUUGAGGGAUCCAGGGCGCUGAGGUGGAGGCAUGGGUUGGCUUUGGAGGGGGCAGAAGUUUUGCAUUUUGUAAUUCAAUAAUUCGCGUUUCGUGUGAAUGGUUCUGCGUUCCGUGCAAGACUCUGCAUUUUCAUAACUGUCUCUUCCACUUUGGGCAGAGGAGGGGAGGGAAGAAAUAACAGCAGCAGUAUUCUGUGGGCAAAGGAAGAAAACAAGAGAAUGGGGCAGAGAACAGGCUAAAUUUAAAAUUGUAAUUGGCUGACUUCCACUGGCUUGCGGGUGUUUUAAUGACUCAUAAUAACUUCAUUUAAAACCAGCUGAGCAGAAAAUAGAUUGGAGAGGAGCCUCGGGCCAUUAUGGAUUUGUUUUUUUUGACAAGCUCGGUGUACAGCAGCCAGGAAGGCUCUCACAGAGGGCUUGGCUGUGUUCUCUCUCUCUCUCUCUCUCUGAGGGUUGGUGGUCUGCCCGGGAGAGAUUGUAUAGAAACCUAGGGCUGCUUUUUUUUUUCACCCCCCCCCUUUAAAACUGAUUAAAAAUAGACGCCUUGAGGUAUUAUUUUAGCAUCAGUAUGUUUUUUUUUUUUUAACUUUUGAUGUGGUAAAUGGAACAUAAAUAAAAUUGUUUUUGAAAUUACCGAAUUAAUUAGGUAGUAAAGCCACGACAAUGCAUAAAUUUCCUUUGCUCGUUGCCCUGAUCCAUAUUUGGGGGGCGUUCCCCCCUUUUCCCAUCCCCUCCUCCUGUCCCCCACCAGCCCCACCUUCCUCCCCACACGGAUCCUCCCUUUGAAUGGCAGCGUUCUUUUAUCAUCCGGGCAACAUCCAAAUGAUUUUUUUUUUUUUUAAAGAUCUGUAGGAUUUUGACAGGAUUGGUUCUAUCCCGCUACUCAGUCAGCUCGAGGAAGCACGAGUUUUGGGAAUUGCCAGAAAAGGCUCUAACCUGCCUCUGGCUGUUUUAAAUAGAUCCCGCCUGCUUCCCAUGCUAGGAAGUGUGCCAGGCAGGCGAGUGAGCCUUUUUCUCUUCUCUUUUGAAAGUCAGCCGGCUCAGCCAUGGGAUGCAUCUGUCUGGGCAGGACAAGAGGCCGCCCCCCCAUCUGAUUGCUUGUAGCCAUUUAUCUAUCCCCUCUUAUGGCACCUGUCACCUUCUUUGUGUCAUAGCUAUUUAUUUGCUUGUCCUUUUUCGCCUCCUAGACUCUCAGCUUUUUCAGAACGUGUGAUUUAUUUCCAUGUCUCCCAUACUUCCUAGCGGAGUGACCUGCAAGGUGGUUACAACUCAGUUGUUUUUGGAAUAAACUAAUGGCUGAGUGGACCAGUAUGUCUCGAGGCACCUGAUGGGGAAUUGCCCCUGAAGCGCCACCCUGCAUCCUUGCAGCCCCAAGGGCCAGCUGUCUAGACUAAAGGACAGGAGUGGAGGCAGGACCUUAUCGGUGUGUGCUCCGUGGCAUCUCCAAGACCUGACACACAGCAGGCUCUCAGUAAAUACUGUUGAAUAAAUGAAUGGCUCUGGACGCACGGUCUGGCUGAGGGGAGAAGACAAAAAUCACUACGUAAUUGGAUGCCUACUGUGGUCCAGGCCCGGUGCUUGGCCUGCUGCAGGUCUAAACUCACUUUUCUCAUGUUGACCUUGGUGGUAGUUAUGCUGAUUCUGUUUUACAAGUAAGGCUUCCAGCAUUGCAGUAGCUUGUGUAAGGUCACACAGCCAGGAGCGGCGAAGCUGGAUUCCUAGCCAGGGCUCUCUGCUCUCUGAGCUCUUACUUUUCUAGUAUGUGGCACGGCUGUGCUGGCCCAGAGGCUUGCUUUCCUGUGUGUAAAGACAGCCAGUGUCUCAGUGCCUGGGGGCUGAGACAGGGAGAAUCAGUGAGGCUCUGUCCCUGGGGGUCCUGGGGGUGGGAUGGGCGCAUGGGCUACUGCUCAGGGCCUUGUACCUGGGUGGCCAAGAGCAGGUGUGUGACUUAGCCUCUUCCUGCUCUUCCCUAGUCAUGUGUGUUCAGUUGUAGCUGCCAUGGCGACCAUUACUCCUCCCUCUUGCCUUAAGGGCAGGGGGAAGGGUAGUUCUGGGAGUGUCGCUAGAGGGUCUGUAGUGAGUAAUUGGCCCUCCCACCCAGGUGAGAGCCUGGCUAUUUUUUUAUGUGUCCAUAACUGUCCCACACAGAGAGGAGGGGCUGCACCAGAGAGCUGCCUGUGGUUUCCCACAUGGGGACCCAGCUGGGUGCUCUGUUCCUUAGGAGGAGGCCCUCUGCUCUGUGAUGCUGAAUCAGAGUGAAGGGGCCAGCUGGCCAGUGCUGCAUCCCAGAAAGGUGGGCGCUCUGGCAGCUAGGGGUGUCACCAGCCCUUCAGACUUCAGUGUCCUGGGGUGGGAUGCGGCAGGAAGAUUCCAGCCUCCCUGACCUUUGGAACCUGUCCGGGCAAGCUGGACCACUUGGCAUGAGGCUCGUUCUGUCUGUUCUCCAACAACCUCAUCUUCCCCAGGCACGCACUGGGGAGGCUGGAGCCUUCUCUGGGGAUCAGAACAUCAACCAAAUGGGAACCAGAUGGAGAAGGAAAACCUCAAUGACUGUCCUGGGUGAUGAGAUGUGGCUCUCUUUGGGGGAGAAAAUCCUUCAUGGAUGAGUUCAUCAGUUAGCCAGUAUCAACUGAGGGCCAGUUGGUGCAAAGCCUGGCAGGACAGACAGAGGGGCUGCAGCUGGGGCCCUUAACCUGCAAGGGGCUGUCGGUCUGGCUAAGAGGAUGAUGUGAGCCCCCAGCAAGGCCGAGUGGGCCCCACCCCUACAAGGUGGGGGAGAGUUGAGUGUGACAGUUUACAGGAGGGAGAAACUCCUGGGGCCCAGGUUGAUGAGGAACAGCGUCGGGGAGGAGGUUCCUUGGAUUUUGAUGGGCUCUUUUCUGCUGGGAGGGUCCACAUGGAGCUUCAUGGUGGGCACUGGACCUGCUUCUCUGGAGGACAGGGACCAAGAGCUUUUGAGAACAAGAGCCAGUUGGUCAGGGGUCUCUUCCCUCCCCCUCUCCUUCUCCUCUUCCUCCUCUUCUGCCCACAGAAAAGGCCUUAAGCCCAGUUUCUCCUGCUGGAGAAUCCUCAGAGUUCUAAGGAUGGCAUGACCUUCCUUGGGCUGCCAAUUGAGAAACACCUGCAUUAACGAUUAAAAGCUGGCCCUUCCGGUGGACCCUCCAUGUUGAGCUGCCCACAAAACAAAUACGACCUUGAAAGUAGGAUUUCAAAUUGGAUGCAGAUCCAGAAUAUUCAUAUUUCUCAUGUCAGACUAGAUAAACCCCCCAAUAUGUGGUGAGUGUUCAGGCUCCAUGAAGCCCACCUUGAGAACACACAGCAUAGGGGGCUGCAGUGUGGUGGGGCUGAGUUCAGAGACUUGGCCACCCUGGAGGGCAGGGAGGAAGGGGGAGGGGGUCCUUAGGCUGAGGCCCCCCCCCAGCCCCGCCCACCUUCUCAGACCAACCCCCUCAGUGGGGAACCCCUGUAUGUGCUUCUUGGGAAGGUGGAGCGGAAGUCCCUUCAGUUGAACCCUGUCUAGGAUUCAACCCAACAAAGACAUCCCUUCUAGACUUUUCCCUGGUCGUUAACAUGCUCGCUCUUCUAAUUUUGAUUGGAAUUCGUUCACUUGCCAGGGAAAAGAAAAAAAAAAGUCAGUUCUAAACUUUUCAUUAGGUGGUUGGGAUAAGAAGUCUUCUGGGGUAGUCGGAUUAAACCUCGGCGGCUCUCACUGACUAUUACGAGCUAAUUGAGCACGGGGAGCUCAUUGGCGGCAGCAAUGAGCAUUUUGCUGGAGUAGUUAUGCAAGGCCAUGGUCGUUUUCAGUAACAAGGUAACUCCAGGUAAAGAGAGGACUCCCUGGAACUUUUGAUUUGCUGGAAUCCUCCUCAUUUUAUGUCUUCGCUAAGAUGAGUCCAGGAGAGACAAAGGCUCAGAGACCAGCUCUUUUGGGAGGUGCAGUCCACUGGGGAUUUCUGCCUGACGGGCCCUAAUUGCGCGGUCCCUUUGUUGGGGGCUGAUGGGGAAGACGCAGCAUAUCCGGAGAGAGCUCUGGUGGGCCCGGUUUCCACUGAUUGAGAUUUGGGGUCCAGAAUCAGAGGCCAGAAGCCUGGGGACAGCAGACCAGGGAGCAAAGAGACUCGCAGGCCAGCAUCUUCCUUGUUGACACAUGUGCGUGCUGAGUGCAGGUGUGACUGCAGGUAACGAGGCCAGAAUCACACCCUCUGUCUCAGCGGAGGUCUGUCUGUCCUUUGUGGGUGUGGUGUGGGGCUGCAUCAGUAGGGUCUUUUCUGCCCCAGAGGUUUCUUGAUGGUGGAGUUUUCUUAGACCUGCUGCCCUCCCUGGCACCGCACCCCCAGCCACAGUCACCAUCAGAAGGACUAGGCCACCCUCAGGUCCUGGGCUAAGUGGCCUGGCACGGACCUUUCAGUGCCCUUUGGCAGGGGCCCCAGGGCCUUGCCAAGCUGACCUUGUCCUCUGGGUGGCCCUGCCCGGCCCCUGGCCCACCGCCCACCUGCGUUGAAUCAUGCCCCUCAGAGGACAGCGUGUAACUGUGCUUCCAGAUAUAGCCCCUGGCCCCCCAGGGGACAGGCAGGGUCAUUGUCACAGAGCUGUCCAUCUUCCUGACAUCGCAUACCCCUCCUGGCUUUCUUCCCUCACUUCUCAGCCCU
rnacentral:lncRNA from 1 species